rnacentral:misc_RNA from 1 species
AAGUCGUAACAAGGUCUCCGUUGGUGAACCAGCGGAGGGAUCAUUAACGAGUUAUGAACUCCUUAAAACCCACUGUGAACCUACUAUUUUGUUGCCUCGGCAGGCUGUGCUUCUACCCUGUAGCUGUUACCCUGUAGCUACCCUGUAGGGCUUACCCUAUAGCUACCCUGUAACAGCUACCUGGAAAGCACGUUGACCGGCCUGCCGGUGGUCUUAAACACUCUGGUUAUUUAUUAUGGUACUCUGAUUUUACUUGAUAAUAAGUUAAAACUUUCAACAACGGAUCUCUUGGUUCUG